UCGGUGAAACGUUUUAACAGCUGCGGUAUUUUAACUGUACUAAGGUAGCAUAAUAAUUUGCCUUAUAAUUUGAGGCUAGAAUGAAUGGUUUGACGAAGGUUAAUCUGUCUCUGCUUUAUUUUUUAGAAAUUAAUUUUCAUAGUGAGAAAGCUUGAAUUUCUUAAGGGGACGAGAAGACCCUACUGAGCUUAUAAUUUUAUUAUCACAUAUAUUUAUGUAUAAUGUGCUAUAUAAAUUUUAAUUGGGGUGAUUAAGGAAUAAUAUAGCUAUUUUAUAACUUCCUUAGAUAUUAUAUUGUUGAAUUAAGUAACCGAUUAAUUAAUAGAAUUGUAUUAUGUAUUGCUUAUAAUAUAGUUACCAUAGGGAUAACAGCGUAAUUUACUUAGAGAGUUCUUAUUGAAAAGUAAGAUUGCGACCUCGAUGUUGGAUUAAAGUGACCUUAAGGUGCAGAAGCUUUAUGAGGUAAAUCUGUUCGAUUUU
rnacentral:rRNA from 1 species